UAAAAUAAAGCCACAAGAUGAAGAGCUUCUCCAAGAAGCUCACGGCUAAGCUCCAUGGAAAACCAAAUCCAAUUCAAGCCUUCCAAAAAAUAAUUCCUUGGUGUAAACCCACUAUAUUAAGGUCCCUAAGUAACGUGGAAGCAUCGUUGGAGCGAUCAAGUCAUUCAUUUAAGAGAUUGCAAACCCUAACCCAUUGUGGGAUUGAAGAAGAAAGACCUUGGGGAGCCCGAGGCGUAGAUUGGGAUUUACUUAGAUUGGCUAUCUUGGAGUGCGUUCGAGGUACAGACGCACAGUUCGGUGAUCCCCCAGUUUAGGAUAACCUCUCCUGCUGUUUGGAGUGCUCUUCUCAUUUCAGAGCAUACACUUUUGGUAUAUAUAUUUUGUUCGCUAUGUAUGCAUAUGUUUGUUCAGGGGUACGGCGGGGUCCUGUCCCGCCAUAUGUUCCGUUUGGUCUGUUUAGAGGUCUGUAGACGUAAUUGUGGGUGUGUGCCUACUUCUGUACAGAUGUGUGUAUAUGUCUCUAUUCGUUAUGGCAGCCUUGUCGGCGUGCAUUUGUAUAUGUGUUUUGGGCCGUUACGCCAUUUGAUAGCCUGGUCGGCUUUUGUUGCAUUUGACAGCCUUGUCGGCUUUUGAUAUAUUUGACAGCCUUGUCGGCUUCUGACACAUUGAUAGCCUUGCUGGCUUUUUGAUAUAUGUAAAUGUAUAUGUUGCGCUGAAAUGUGUUUGAUACA